GUUUUGGAGAUAGAGACAGAGUUUGAGUUUUAGGGAGAGAGAUGAAGUUUUGAGAGAGAGAGACGAUGAUGUGAGAGAGAUGGAGUUUGGGUUUUAGAGAGACAUGGAGUUUUGAGAGAGAGAGAGACAAUGAUAUGAGGGAGAGAUGGAGUUUUAAAGAGAGAGAGAUAGAGUCGUUUCAUAAGUUGUUGAGGUCAAUAAUACAUGGUCAAAAGGGUUUAGGGGGUUGGAAGAUAGAAAAGAUGGAG
rnacentral:lncRNA from 1 species